UUUUUUUCUUGUAUUUUUUUUUUAUUGGAGUUCCAUUUGCCAACAUAUAGCAUAACACCACGUGUUCAUCCCAUCAAGUGCCCCCCUCAGUGCCCGUUACCCAGUCACACCAACCCCCUGCCCACUUCCCCUUCCAUUACUCCUUGUUCGUUUCCAAGAGUUAGGAGUCUCCCAUGUUCUGUCUCCCUCUCUGAUAUUUCCCACUCAUUUUCUCUCCUUUCCCCUUUAUUCCCUUUCACUAUUUUUUAUAUUCUCAGAAAAUAUGAAACCAUAUAAUGUUUGUCCUUCUCUGAUUGACUUAUUUCACUUAUACCCUUCAGUUCCAUCCACGUCGAAGAAAAUGGUAGGUAUUUGUCAUUUCUAAUGGCUGAGUAAUAUCCCAUUGUAUGUAUAGACCACAUCUUUAUCCAUUCAUCUUUUGAUGGACACAGAGGAUCCUUCCACAAUUUGACUAUUGUGGACAUUGCUGCUAGAAACAUCGGGGUGCAGGUGUCCUGCUGUUUCACUGCAUCUGUAUCUUUGAGGUAAAUCCCCACCAGUGCAAUUGCUGGGUCAUAGGGCAGGUCUAUGUUUAACUCUUUGAGGAACCUCCACACAGUUUUCCAGAGUGGCUGCACCAGUUCACAUUCCCACCAACAGUGCAAGAGGGUUCCCUUCUCCACAUCCUCUCCAACAUGUGUCGUUUGCUGUCUUGUUAAUUUCCCCCAUUCUCACUGGUGUGAGGUGGUAUCCCAUUGUGGUUUUGAUUUGUAUUUCCCUGAUGGCCAGUAAUGCGGAGAAUUUUCUCAUGUGCUUGUUGGCCAUGUCUAUGUCUUCCUCUGUGAAAUUUCUGUUCAUGUCUUUUGCCCAUUUCAUGAUGUUGAGUUUAAUAAGUUCUUUAUAGAUCUUGGAUACUAGCCCUUCAUCUGAUAGGUCAUUUGCCAAUAUCUUCUCCCAUUCUGUAGGUUGUCUUUUAGUUUUGUUGACUGUUUCUUUUGCUAUGAAGAAGCUUUGUAUCUUGAUUAAGUCCCAUUAGCUCAUUCUUGCUUUUGUUUCCUUUGCCUUCAUAGAUGUCUCUUGCAAAAAGUUGCUGUGGCCAAGUUCAAAAGGAGCCUUGCUUGUGUUCUCCUCUAGGAUUUUGAUGGAUUCUUGUCUCACAUUUAGAUCUUUCAUCCAUGUUGAGCUUAUCUUUGUGAGUGGUGUAAAAAAAAAUGGUCUAGUUUCAUUCUUCUGCACGUCACUGUCCAAUUUUCCCAGCACCAUUUAUUGAAGAACUUUCCUUUUUCCCGUGGAUACUCUUUCCUGCUUUGUUGAAUAUUAAUUGACCAUAGAGGUGAGGGCCCAUUUCUGGCUUCUCUGUUCUGUUGCAUUGAUCUAUGUGCCUGUUUUUGUGCCACGACCACACUGUCUUGAUGAUCACAGCUUUGCAGUGCAACGUGAAAUCUGGCAUUGUGAUGGCCCCAGUUCUGGUUUUCUUUUUCAAUAUUCCCCGGACUAUCUGGGGUCUUUUCUGAUUCCACACAAAUCUUAAGAUGAUUUGUUCCAACACUCUGAAGGAAGUCCAUGGUAUUUUGAUAGGGAUUGCAAUUAAAUGUGUAAAUUGCCCUAGGUAGCAUUGUUGUUUUUUUUUUUUACAAUAUUAAUUCUUCCAAUACAUGAGCAUGAAAUAUUUUCCAUAUCUUUGUGUCUUCCUCAAUUUCUUUCAGAAGUGUUCUGGAGUUUUUAGGGUAUAGAUCCUUUACCUCUUUGGUUAGGUUUAUUUUUAGAUAUGGUAGGGUUUUGGGUGCAAUUGUAAAUGGGAUUGACUCCUUAAUUUCUCUUUCUUCAGUCUCAUUGUUAGUGUAUAGAAAUGGCCACUGAUUUCUGGGCAUUGAUUUUGUAUCCUGCCACACUGCCAAAUUGUUGUAUGAGUUCCAGCAAUCUUGGGGUGGAGUCUUUUGGGUUUUCUAUGUACAGUAUCAUGUCAUCUGUGAAGAGGGAGUAUUUGACUUCUUCUUUGCCAAUUUGAAUGCCUUUUAUGUCUUUUUGUUGCCUGAUUGCUGAGGCUAGGACUUCCAGUACUAUGUUGAAUAGCAGAGGUCAGAGUGCACAUCCCUGUCCUAUUCCUAAUCUUAGGAGAAAGGCUCCCAGUGUUUCCUCAUUGAGAAUGAUAUUUGCUGUGUGCUUUUUGUAGAUGGCUUUUAAGAUGCUGAGGAGUGUUCCCUCUAUCCCUACACUCUGAAGAGUUGUGAUCAGAAACGGAUGCUGUAUUUUGUCAAAUGCUUUCUCUGCAUCUAUUGAGAGGAUCAUAUGGCUUUUUUUUUGCUGAUAUGAUCAAUCAUAUUGAUUGCUUUACAAGUGUUGAACCAGCCUUGCAUCCUGGAGAUAAAUGCCGCUUGGUCAUGGUGAAUAAUCUUCUUAAUUUACUGUUGGAUCCUAUUGGCUAGUAUCUUGUCAAGAAUUUUUGCAUCUGUGUUCAUCAGGGAUAUUGGUCUACAAUUCUCCUUUUUGGUGGGGUCUUUGGUUUUGGAAUUAAGGUGAUGCUGGCCUCAUAAAAUGAGUUUGGAAGUAUUCCAUCCCUUUCUAUCUUUUGGAACAUCUUUAUUAGGAUAGGUAUUAUUUCUUCUUUAAACAUUUGACAGAAUUCCCCUGGGAAGUCAUCUGGCCCUGGACUUUUGUGUCUUGGGAGGUUUUUGAUGACUACUUCAAUAUCCUCCCUCGUCAUUGGCCUGUCCAAUUUUUCUAUUUCUUCCUGUUCCAGUUUUAGUAAUUUGUGGCUUUCCAGAAAUGCAUCCAUUUCUUCUAGAUUGCCUAAUUUAUUGGCGUAUAGCUGCUCAAAAUACAUUUUAAAAAUAGUUUGUAUUUCCUUGGUGUUGGUUGUGAUCUCUUUUUCAUCUGUGAUUUUAUUAAUUUGAGUUUUUAUCUUUUCUUUUAAUAAGGCUGGCUAUGGUUAGUCUAUCUUAUUCAUUCUUUCAAAGAACCAACUCCUGGUUUUAUUUAUCUCUUCUACAGUUCUUCUGGUCUCUAUUUUAUUAGUUCUGCUCGAAUCUUUAUUCAUUUGUUCAAAUAUGAUUUCUGGCCCUCUGUCCAUCUCAGCGCCCUCUGGAACCCCACUUAUAUGUAGAUUUUUCCUUCUGAGGCUAUCAUUUAUUUCCCUUAACCUUUCCCUAUGAUAUUUUAAUUGUUUUACUUUUUUUUUCUUCAGCUUCCUUCCUUGCCAUCAACUUGUCUGCUAUGUCACUCAUUCUUCUACCUCAUUAACCCUUGUUAUUAGGACCUCCAGUUUGGAUUGCAUCUCAUUUAAUUUAUUUUUAAUUUUGGCCUGAUUAGAUCUAAAUUCUGCAGUCAUGAAGUCUCUUGAAUCCUUAUGUUAUUUUCCAGAGCCACCAGUAGCUUCAUAAUUGUGCUUCUGAAUUGGCUUUCUGACAUAGAAUUAUAAUCCAAAUUAUAUAACUCUGUGGCAGAGAGUACUGUUCCUGAUUCUCUCUUUUGUGGUGAUUUCUUCUUUCUAGUCAUUUUUCUCAGUGCAGAGUGGCUGUAUGAGCAGGCUGAGUCAAGAAUAUAAACCACAACCUAAGUAAAUUUCACCCUAGAUGAUUCUGCCGAAGUCAGAGACCAGAAACUGAAAACAAAGAUCAGAAUGAAAUAAAACAAAAGGACCACUAAAGUGAAAAACAAACUUUAAAACAAAGUAGUAAAAAAUAAAGAGCCAGAAUCCUAAAGAAGAAGAGAAAAAAAAUUAAAAAUUAAAAAAAAAAAAGAAAAAGAAAAAAAAAAA
rnacentral:lncRNA from 1 species